rnacentral:rRNA from 1 species
GACCUCAAAUCGGGUGGGACUACCCGCUGAACUUAAGCAUAUCAAUAAGCGGAGGAAAAGAAACUAACAAGGAUUCCCCUAGUAACGGCGAGUGAAGAGGGAAAAGCUCAAAUUUUGAAUCUGGUGUCCUUGACUCCCGAGUUGUAAUCUAGAGAAGUGUUUCCGUGUCGGACCCAUGCACAAGUUCCCUGGAACGGGCGUCAUAGAGGGUGAGAAUCCCGUAUAUGGCAUGGGACUGCCGAUGCAUUUGUGAUACACUCUCAACGAGUCGAGUUGUUUGGGAAUGCAGCUCAAAAUGGGUGGUAAAUUCCAUCUAAAGCUAAAUAUUGGCGAGAGACCGAUAGCGAACAAGUACCGUGAGGGAAAGAUGAAAAGCACUUUGGAAAGAGAGUGAAACAGUACGUGAAAUUGUUGAAAGGGAAGCGUUUGAAGUCAG